rnacentral:rRNA from 1 species
UACGUAGGGUGCAAGCGUUAAUCGGAAUUACUGGGCGUAAAGGGCGCGUAGGCGGUUUGAUAAGUCAGAUGUGAAAGCCCACGGCUUAACUGUGGAAGUGGAUUUGAAACUGUCAGACUUGAGUAUCAGAGGGGAAAGUGGAAUUCCAGGUGUAGAGGUGAAAUUCGUAGAUAUCGGGAGGAAUACCGGUGGCGAAGGCGACUUUCUGGCUGAAUACUGACGAUGAGGCGCGAAAGAGUGGGGAGCAAACAGG